ACGAACGCUGGCGGCGUGCCUAAUACAUGCAAGUAGCACGCACAGUUUAUACCGUAGCUUGCUACACCAUAGACUGUGAGUUGCGAACGGGUGAGUACGCCGAGGUUACCCGCCCGGUAGGGGGGGAAAAACAUUGGAAAAGAUUGCCAAUUCCGCCAUAUUUUUAUUUUUUCCUGAUUAUUUAUUUAAAGGUGCAAUUUCAACACCACCAGAUUGACCCGCGUUGUAUUAGCUAGUAGGUGAGGUAACGGCUCACCUAGGCGACGAUACAUAGCCGACCUGAGAGGGUGAUCGGCCACACUGGGACUGAGACACGGCCCAGACUCCUACGGGAGGCAGCAGUAGGGAAUCUUCGGCAAUGGACGAAAGUCUGACCGAGCAACGCCGCGUGAGUGAAGAAGGUUUUCGGAUCGUAAAGCUCUGUUGUAAGAGAAGAACGGGUGUGAGAGUGGAAAGUUCACACUGUGACGGUAUCUUACCAGAAAGGGACGGCUAACUACGUG
rnacentral:rRNA from 1 species